GGAUUGUGGCUCAAGUGGUAGAGUGCUCGCCUAGCAUGUGUGAGGCACUGGGUUCAACCCUCAGCACCA
rnacentral:tRNA from 1 species